GCUAUCUGGGUGUUUCCAGUAAUGAGGUCUCAUUCUGUUUCACAGCCAGCUGGUACUCUAUGGUAUAAUCGCCUUUAAGCAUUUGCCGUUUUCUCCCUUAGUUGUUUGCUCCUUCCAUUCUUGUGCACACAGGACUGUGCACGUAUGUAUGAUUAUUUCCUUAGAACACAUACUUAAAAGUGAAACUGCCACGCCAAAGGAGUCAUUUAUUCAACAAAUCCCCUUUUGAGCACCUACUGUGUGCAGGGCAGUUUCAGGCAGAGACUUUGGGGGGUCUAGAAAUACACAUAUCCCUCCCUACCUUCGUGGUGGUGACAUUCCAGUAAGGAGGGGUGUCUGCUUUUUAUUUUGAUAAAUGCUGCCACACAAAGGCAGACUUCCAUCAGUGGCCUCGGGAAUGAAUGCCCAUUAAUGGGCGGUGGCUCUGCAGCAAGGGUUUGGACGCUUGGGCCUUUGCUCUCAAACGAAUCAUCAGGGUAUGGGGCAGGGACAGUGCUCUGGGGGACGUCGGUUGGGGGAGACAGGGCUGGAACGUGGGCAGGAGGAAGGCAUGAAAGAGUCCAUUUAGUUCUUUUGCGGUGAACUGAAGAUUGAUUCACUUGACACUGACAUGAAAGAGUCCUUGUCGCACACACAAGGGGAGCGUGAGCGGUGGGAAUGAAGGGUUAACGACUAGACUGUGCAGCUCCAGGACCAUACCACUACGGUCAUGGGAGGUACCACAGGGGAGGGGUCGUGUAUUUCGGAAGAUACCAUUGUACUAGUGGAGACACGAAAGGUCUCCUCAUCCCGCGAGUGGAUCGGCCUCCACCCUAGACCGAGGAGAGAAUGGCUCUGCCUGGACCGACCCCCGCGCCGGGCGGACCCGAUCUUCGGCCUAAAGCGUCCACCUGUCUGGAAGCCGCCGCCACCAAGCUUUUAUUAAUAUAUCCGUUCCCGCCGGGUUGGCUAUACAGAUGCGAAUCAACUCCGGGGGUGGGGUGAGGAGGAAGGCCGCGGAGCGGCGAUUGCUUCCUGGACGAGUUGCGUAGGGCGGGACAAAGUCUUGCCCUGAGCUCUGAUUGGUCACCGCGAGACUGCCUACCUAAGCUCUUCCAGGGUACCGAGGUUUUCCGGAAUCACUAAGAGGCUACAGGCCGGGUCCUUCGGCUCCGCGUUCCUAUUGGCUGCUGUUUCGGCGCAAGCGCUUUGGCUCCUGGGUUGGCGUUCAGGGUUGCCGAGGCAGGGCUUUGGCUACUGGAGAUCGUAGGUUCGAAUCCCGUCUGGGAAGUUCAACUUGUGCACCUGUAAAAGAAGCUGGCAUUAUUGGCUUGUACUCAAGGGCUGGCACAGAGUGUGUCGGGGUGCGGACGCCCCAGCCACGCCCAUCAUCCGUGCGGAAGAUGCAGAGGUCAUAUCGGAUACCCUUCUGUACCACACGAUUUGGGCAGUCAUAGCCGCAGCGGCAGCGGGAGUUGCACUCGUAGAUGGGCAGCCCGGCUCGAAGCCGCACCUGGCCCUGGUCAUUGUAGGCAAACUUGUGCAGUGACGCCCCCGGGCAGCAGCCUCCAGUGGGUGCCCACAGACAGUCCUGGCACUCGCAGCCCACAGCCACCUGGUUGAGGGUGAUGCCCUCACCAACACGGUACUCAUUGAUGUACACGAAGGCCCGCGGAGGGCCGUCCAGGUCCACCUCAUUCUCUACAGUGAUGCGUCCCAGAUGGCUGCGCUUGGCAUUGAGCUCCUGCUCCCAGCGACGGAGCGCCCGCCUCUGCUUGGCCUUCUGCACCAGGUAGUUGGCCAAGCUUGGGUCCAGGUGCCGGGGGGUCUUUGACCGGUGGUGCCGCCGGAGCAGCUCCCUUUCUAAGUCCUUGUGGAACUGCUUGAGGAUACGCACACACUUGAGAUUCUGCCGUGGCUCCCAGGUGCUCUCUGAGUCUGGAUAUCCACGCCAUUUCACCAGGGUCAAAGGAGAAAAUUCCCUUUGGAAACAGAUGUGGGCAGUUGGGGACAAGAGGGCAGGACACUAACUUCCUUGUGACCUGUCCCCUCCCAGAGCAUGGUCACCCCAGACUCACGCGGAUCUUCUUGUAAUCGCACAGGUACUCGACUUCAAAGUCAUAGAGGUUCCUCUUAGAGAUACCGAGGGCAGGGCAGGAGAGCUUGGCCAGGCGGCACAGGUCCUGCAGCUGAUUCCAAGAAGACUUGCAACACACGCUGCAGCCUGGAUCAAGCGGGGCAGAAAGAACUAUUACUGGGCAGCCUGACUAGGCCAGGAGUCAAAGGGGACCCCAAAUCCUCCCUGGGACAUCCCAAAGACUGACUAAGAGUCAGGGAAAUUUAAUCCACAGGCCUUCCCCAGUGCUGAGACUGUUCUACAACAGAAAUGUGCUUUGAACCCCAAUACUCACUGCCCAAAGCUGCCCCUGGAGCAGCAGACCUCUAAGCGGGGUUUGCAACAUGAAUUGUCCUAAAGGAAUCUAUUUCCAGAGCUUCAAACUCCAUGUCAUUCCUAAAACUGCCUGCAAACCUGCUUUGGGUUCAGGACCUGAUCACCCCUCUCUCCACUUUGCAAAAGAAAGAGAACAACCCCCCAUCUCAGUAGGAUGCAGUGCCCCGAGGUGGGGCGGAUGGGAGGACAAGAUUAAAACCUCCAGGGCACCAAACAAAGGCGUAACUGGAAAGACUGGUCUUUAAUCCCUUAUCUCAAACUCCUGGGCCAGAUGUGUUUUGGAAUUCAAAAUUUUUUGGAUUUUACAAGACUAGUUCUAGGAUAUCCCAUACAUCACCUAACACCCCCAGCGUGGCCAGGGGACAUCAAGCUAUAAUCAAAUGCAUUAACCGUCCUGCAGCAAAAGUAUGAAUUUCCCACAUUAAAUAGGAGAAAUAGAGAUAUAAAAUAGCCUCACAGAAGAGUUCCACUUUAUAAUCUACUUUUGCCAUAAAUGGUGCCAAAUUUAAGAAAAGGAUUUCAGUUUUCAGGGCUUUUUAGAUUUCGGAAUUAUGAGCAAGAGAUUGUGGAAUGAUACUACAUUACAGGAAGGCUCCUUAAAUGAUCAAUCUGGGUGCCUUAAAUCCACAAGGUAUAUUUUUUCACACUGCAUUUUGACUUUCUGUCUCAUCCAUCUUUCUGUGAAGAGUAAAGCUCAUCCAAAGGGUUAUGCUCUGAAUUUAUACGCAAAGCGGUACAGAUUAGUGACACUGAUUCUUUUAAAUAUACCUGGUAUAUUUCUGGGACUGCCAAAAUUUUGUAAGACACACGGAUUUUAAAAAACAGAUUUCUUUCUGAUUCAAGGCACAUUCUUAAUCAAAGUACUUUAGAAGCCAUUUUAUCAAAUCAUGUCUCAAAACAUUCCAAGGGCAGUCAGUCCUCAUCCUAUAUCAUCUUUUUAAAAUGUUUAAUAUUUUCUGCCUCCCAUUGCAAAAAUCACACCUAAACUUUAGAUGUCAACCUAAAAACGUACAAGAGCUUUUCAAAAUUAUUUCGUGUGCAAGCCCUACCCCCCCUACUUAGGCAAGACCAAGUGGAGACUGAGCCCGCCUGUGCCCACGCUUUCCUCUCCCUACAGCCUGUCCUCGCAAACCCCUUCCUUCACUUGCAUUUGAAACCCCACUUAAGUGGUCCCAAUUAACACCCUCCAGCUGCUGGCUCCGGAACUGGCCACAGGUGGACUCUCCUGAACCCCUCAGAGGUCCUCCCACUUGUGGAACCCAUCCUCCCUGCGGCUUUCGUCACAUAGAGGGGCCCCCCAACAUAACUGAGUCACCCCUCUUUCCCUGCACAUGGGGGAGUCCAGCUGUCCUAUUAGGAAGGCCCCAUUUCUCUCUUCUGGGAGAUCCUCUAUUCCAAACCCUUCCCCCAUCACGCCGAGAGGCGAUACUUUCCCCCAGAAGAGUUCUCAGUCCCCGCACUCUGAAGGGGGGGUCUGUCCCCCUUAUCUUCCCUCCCCUUCCGGCGUCUCGCGUGGACACCGAAUGGGUAACGGUCACCAGGGGCCGAUUUUCCCGCGCGCGGGCGCGGCCUCCUCGACAAGCCCCCGCGCGUGCGCGCGCCGGUCCGGCCGCGAUCUGCAGCGCGCGCCCCCCUCCUGCGUCCCCACUUAGCCCCAGGCCCGCUGCGUUCCGAGGCGCGCGCCCCCUCCCCUGAGCCCCGCCCAGCCCCGCGCACCAGGCCCGCGCUCCCCGAGCCUCAUCCUUUCCGCGCCGAGCUUCCGGCUCCCGGCGCCGGGGCCUCGGACGCCGGGGCCCCGAGCCGGCAACGCCACCCCUCCAGCCCACCCGGCCCGGCCAGCGGGCCCGCGCCUCUGCCUCCACUGCUUCACCUUUUAAAUUUUCCGCCAUCUUUCCCCACGGCUAACGACAUUCGGGCCUA
rnacentral:lncRNA from 10 species